rnacentral:rRNA from 1 species
GACGAACCGUGCGAACGUUAUUCGGAAUAACUGGGCUUAAAGGGAGCGUAGGCGGGCUAUCAAGUCUGGGGUGAAAUCCCGCGGCUCAACCGUGGAACUGCCUCAGAUACUGACGGCCUCGAGGGAGAUAGGGGCAUGCGGAACUGUAGGUGGAGCGGUGAAAUGCGUUGAUAUCUACAGGAACUCCGGUGGCGAAAGCGGCGUGCUGGAUCUCUUCUGACGCUAGGAGCUACGAAAGGCAUGGGGAGCAAACACGG